rnacentral:rRNA from 1 species
CCUACGGGAGGCAGCAGUGGGGAAUAUUGGACAAUGGGCGAAAGCCUGAUCCAGCAAUGCCGCGUGUGUGAAGAAGGCCUGCGGGUUGUAAAGCACUUUCAGUUGGGAAGAUGAUGACGUUACCAACAGAAGAAGCACCGGCUAAAUCCGUGCCAGCAGCCGCGGUAAUACGGAUGGUGCGAGCGUUAAUCGGAAUUACUGGGCGUAAAGCGCGCGUAGGCGGCUAAGUCAGUCAGAAGUGAAAGCCCCGGGCUCAACCUGGGAAUUGCUUUUGAUACUGCUUAGCUAGAGUUUGGUAGAGGAUAGUGGAAUUCCAGGUGUAGCGGUGAAGUGCGUAGAUAUCUGGAGGAACAUCAGUGGCGAAGGCGACUGUCUGGACCAAAACUGACGCUGAGGUGCGAAAGCGUGGGUAGCAAACAGGAUUAGAUACCCUGGUAGUCCACGCCGUAAACGAUGUCAACUAGCCGUCGGACCUAUUUACAGGUUUGGUGGCGCAGCUAACGCGAUAAGUUGACCGCCUGGGGAGUACGGCCGCAAGGUUAAAACUCAAAGGAAUUGACGG